rnacentral:ncRNA from 1 species
UUCAGAAAAAGGCAAACUAAUUGAAAAAUUAGGACGCAAAGUCACAGAUCUAACGUAACUAUUACUAAGAUGGCUGGUCUACCUGA